AAAUGAAAAACAACGUAUAUAACAACUUAAUGGUAUCCUCAAACCAAAUCCAUUUUGCCUCGAGGGAAAAAUAUUGACAAAGGUCACAUUCAUUUGAAAAAAUUUAGGAUCAUGAACCACUAUAAUGAACCUAUUCAUAUUCUUUUUUUAUUUUAUUGUGCAUCGAAUGUUGUAGCUUGGGGGGAGGGGAGAAGAGGGAAGACAUGAACCCUUGACCUCCUAGUGAAGUGCAGAGAAUAAUGGGCUAACCUAAUUGAUUAGCAGGCUUUUUCUAUGCUCUUAUACACAUUCUCAAAUCAUGCUAGUUUAUUACCUCUUGUCAACCCUUCAUUAUCCACUGAACAUGAUCCACAUUGGAUGCAACAUAACUUGUAAGCUUGCCAAAUUAAUAAGCAUCGGGAUAGAAAUGUUCAGAUAAUUUAUUCAAUUAGACAAAAUGUUUAAAAAAUAUAUAUAUAUUUAAGGUUAGGCAAGGAAUCAUGUUGACUUCCCCUGUAGUUUGAAGAUCAAAUAUGUCCAAAUCAAGGAAUUUAAAAUUUCAGUAAUACAUAAACUUAUGCCAAAAACAACUCUAAAACUAAAAGAUGGCCAAGAUAGUGAGAGAGAGAGAGAGAGAGAGAGAGAGA